UUGAUUCGAGUCUCUAAAGUUAGCCGUUAAGUUACCAUGGUGAUUUACCACCGUCGUAACGCUGAUAACUCGGAGUUAAACCUGAAGUUACCUCGCUAACCGCAAAUCCUGACCGUAGUACAGACCUCAGGUUGUACAGAUUCCAAUAUGAUCCAGCAUCUGUGGGAUGAUCCGGGACAAACCUGAUCCACGGAGGCUCAACAGGACCCAAGGGACCUGCUGCUAAUGUCCACACCCCCAGAGGUCUUGUGUCCAUUCCCCAGCAGGGCAGCGUGAAACGGAGGGGGAUCGAGAACCAGAGAGAACCAGAGUUUCUGAUGAGUCCUGGGAUCAGUCAAGAGGCUGAGGUAACUGCAGAGACGAUCAUCAAAGUCAGCAGGAUUCAUUGUCUUGGGACCUGAAAUGUUUGUACAAAAUUUCAUGGCAACCCGCCCAAUAAGUAAGAUGGUGAAAGAGGGAGGGAAAGAGAGACAGCACAAGGGGCAGAAAUGACAAAAGAGGAGUACAGAGUCAUCUGCCUGGGGCAAGACUAUCAGUCAGCUCUUCAGAAGUUUAACUCCAUGCAGCACAGCGACUCUGAGAGCAGGUUUCUUAGAUAUCCUCUCUCAUAUGUUCACUCACCAAUCCUAUGGUGCAUAUUAAAUCACCGGGUGAAUAAUGAAGCCUAUCUCACAUAAAUUAGAGAGACAUGCUGAAUUCCCCUCAGGUUCAAUCACCAUGAAUAUUAAAGCAAACUCACAAGGUUACAGAGAAAAUUGGAGACAGGCCGAACAAGCAGAGGAUAGAUGAAGAAAUAUGAAGAAUGAAGGACAAAGAGAGAGAGAGAAAGAGAGAGAGCAGAUAAAGAGGAGAGCUCCUGGCAAGAGGGGAAAGCAGUCGUUAUAAAUUUGUAUCAGCGAUGGCUAUGUAAUCAUUUUGCUCACAUCUGAAAACGGGGUUAGGAAGCAGGGUAAUUAAAUCGCCAGUGCUCCAUGGCUAUGUCACUGUUGAAUGUGCAAGGUUAUUUUUUUUAAAGCUGUGUAUCCUGAAGUAUGAAAACUGAAAUAAACUAAUAUAUAAAUAAAAAA